GUCCUUGUGUUAAGGUGCAUCUAGUGCAGUUAGUGAUGUAGCGUAGAAUCUACUGCCCUAAAUGCUCCUUCUGGCACAAGCU
rfam:Taeniopygia guttata chromosome 4A, whole genome shotgun sequence.